rnacentral:rRNA from 1 species
UACGGAGGGGGCUAGCGUUGUUCGGAAUUACUGGGCGUAAAGGGCUCGUAGGCGGCCAACUAAGUCAUACGUGAAAUCCCUCAGCUUAACUGGGGAACUGCGUGUGAUACUGGAUGGCUUGGAUUUGGGAGAGGGAUGCGGAAUUCCAGGUGUAGCGGUGAAAUGCGUAGAUAUCUGGAGGAAUACCGGAGGCGAAGGCGGCUCACUGGGGGUUUUCUGACGCUGAGGAACGAAAGCCAGGGGAGCGAACGGG